UGCCAAUGAUGUCAACCAAUAUUUGCUAUUUGAUUUUCAAAGAUGAAAAAAAAGUACCACCAAGAUCUGAGGCA